rnacentral:rRNA from 1 species
GCCAGCCAUCACACAAGGCGCGCCUAGAGGCCGUGCGUCGCGCCAUUCAAUUGGUCGCCGCCGCGUACCCAUCCAGGCAGCCUCCCUCUCACGGUCAUCUGAACCGGUGCAGCCCAUUACGCCAGCCCGUCGCCAUGUGGAUAUUAUGAAGAUUGAAAUAUACAAAAUUUGCCAUGUUGUGGAAACAUAAUGUGUAAGUGAAUUUGCCAUACAAACUAUAUAUAAAUUUGCCAAGUUAUGAAUGAAUUCGAUGAACUUCCUAGAGAAUAAUGCAUAGUUGCCAUGUCCAUCAUUUAUUGAAUAAAAAACUGAUGGCAACUUUAUUAUAAAGUAUUUUUGCCAUGGCAAUUAACAUUACCAAUGCAUACGGUUCCAGCAUCAAUUUGGUAUGUCACCAUGUGGAUAUUAACAUUACCGUCGCCAUGUGGAUAUUAACAUUACCAAUUUGGUAUGCUCUCCACUCUAAAAUUUCUCCCUAAUAUGAAGUAGCCAUAUCAUCUGAAUAUAAAUUGCCAUGUGCUAUCUGAAGACGGAAAAAUUCAGACAACAAAAUGCACAGCAAAAAAGAGGAU